rnacentral:rRNA from 1 species
UACGUAGGGAGCAAGCGUUGUCCGGAAUCAUUGGGCGUAAAGCGCGUGUAGGCGGUCCGGUAAGUCGGUUGUGAAAGUCCAGGGCUCAACCCUGGGAUGCCGAUCGAUACUGCCGGACUAGAGUCCGGAAGAGGCGAGUGGAAUUCCCGGUGUAGCGGUGAAAUGCGUAGAGAUCGGGAGGAACACCAGUGGCGAAGGCGGCCUUCUGGACCAAUACUGACGCUCAUGCACGAAAGCGUGGGGAGCAAACAGG